GUCCACAGCCAUGCCACCCUGAACAAGCUCCAUGUCUGAUCUCGGAAGCUAAGCAGGGUCGGGCCUGGUUAGUACUUGAAUGGGAGAUCACCUAGGAAGACCAGGUGCUGUAGGCA
rfam:Pteropus alecto contig69303, whole genome shotgun sequence.